rnacentral:rRNA from 1 species
CAUUAUACCGUGAAACUGCGAAUGGCUCAUUAAAUCAGUUAUCGUUUAUUUGAUAAUACCUUACUACUUGGAUAACCGUGGUAAUUCUAGAGCUAAUACAUGCUGAAAAUCCCGACUUCGGAAGGGAUGUGCUUAUUAGAUAAAAAACCAAUGCCCUUCGGGGCUCUUUGGUGAUUCAUGAUAAUUUUACGGAUCGCAUAGCCUUGCGCUGGCGACGGUUCAUUCAAAUUUCUGCCCUAUCAACUUUCGAUGGUAAGGUAUUGGCUUACCAUGGUUUCAACGGGUAACGGGGAAUUAGGGUUCGAUUCCGGAGAGGGAGCCUGAGAAACGGCUACCACAUCCAAGGAAGGCAGCAGGCGCGCAAAUUACCCAAUCCCGACACGGGGAGGUAGUGACAAUAAAUACUGAUACAGGGCUCUUUUGGGUCUUGUAAUUGGAAUGAGUACAAUUUAAACCUCUUAACGAGGAACAAUUGGAGGGCAAGUCUGGUGCCAGCAGCCGCGGUAAUUCCAGCUCCAAUAGCGUAUAUUAAAGUUGUUGCAGUUAAAAAGCUCGUAGUUGAAACUUGGGCCUGGCUGGCGGGUCCGCCUCACCGCGUGCACUCGUCCGGCCGGGCCUUCCUUCUGAAGAACCUCAUGCCCUUCACUGGGCGUGUUGGGGAAUCAGGACUUUUACUUUGAAAAAAUUAGAGUGUUCAAAGCAGGCCUUUGCUCGAAUACGUUAGCAUGGAAUAAUAAAAUAGGGCGUGCGUUUCUAUUUUGUUGGUUUCUAGAGACGCCGCAAUGAUUAACAGGAACAGUCGGGGGCAUCAGUAUUCAGUUGUCAGAGGUGAAAUUCUUGGAUUUACUGAAGACUAACUACUGCGAAAGCAUUUGCCAAGGAUG